rnacentral:rRNA from 3 species
CCUGGGCUACACACACGCUACAAUGGCCGGUACAACGGGCUGCGAAAGCGCGAGCUGGAGCUAAUCCCCCAAAGCCGGCCCCAGUUCAGAUUGCAGGCUGCAACUCGCCUGCAUGAAGGCGGAGUCGCUAGUAACCGCAGGUCAGCAAUACUGCGGUGAAUACGUUCCCGGGCCUUGUACACACCGCCCGUCACGUCAUGGAAGCCAGCAGCACCUGAAGCCGCUGAGCCAACGCGCAAGCGAGGCAGGCGCCUAGGGUGAGGUGGGUAACUGUGACGAAGUCGUAACAAGGUAGCCGUACGGGAACGUGCGGCUGGAUCACCUCCUUUCUAGGGAG